rnacentral:rRNA from 1 species
UACGUAGGGUGCAAGCGUUGUCCGGAAUUAUUGGGCGUAAAGAGCUCGUAGGCGGUUUGUCGCGUCUGCUGUGAAAACUGGAGGCUCAACCUCCAGCCUGCAGUGGGUACGGGCAGACUAGAGUGCGGUAGGGGAGAUUGGAAUUCCUGGUGUAGCGGUGGAAUGCGCAGAUAUCAGGAGGAACACCCGUGGCGAAAGCGGCUCUCUGGAACGGUACUGACGCUGAGACGCGAAAGCGUGGGGAGCGAACAGG